rfam:Schistosoma rodhaini strain Burundi genome assembly, scaffold: SROB_scaffold0008460
ACCUCUUGCGCCGCAGUCAAUAUUGGCUGAAGGCAUUGUUUUAUUGUCACAGCCAGUAUUGAUGAACGGUGUAAAAGG